UUGUCUUACGGGGGGCAGCAGUGGGGAAUCUUCCGCAAUGGGCGAAAGCCUGACGGAGCAACGCCGCGUGAUCGAAUGAAGGCCUUCGGGUUGUAAAGAUCUGUUGACAGGGACGAAUAAGCAAUGCGAAUAGUUUUGUGUAUGACGGUACCUGUUUAGAAAGCUCCGGCUAACUACGUGCCAGCAGCCGCGGUAAUACGUAGGGGGCGAGCGUUGUCCGGAAUCACUGGGCGUAAAGGGCGCGUAGGCGGUUUAAUAAGUCAGUGGUGAAAACUGAGGGCUCAACCCUCAGCCUGCCACUGAUA
rnacentral:rRNA from 1 species